AACGUAGGACGCGAGCGUUAUCCGGAGUUACUGGGCGUAAAGGGUGGGCAGGCGGCCGUGUCAGAUGGGUGUGAAAUCUCCCGGCUCAACCGGGAGGGGCCACUCGUGACUGCACGGCUGGAGGGCAGCAGAGGCGCGUGGAAUUCCGGGUGGAGUGGUGAAAUGCGUAGAGAUCCGGAGGAACACCAGAGGCGAAGGCGGCGCGCUGGGCUGUACCCGACGCUGAACCACGAAAGCCAGGGUAGCGAACGGG
rnacentral:rRNA from 1 species